AUUGGAAUUGCUGGGUCAUAUGGUAAAGUUCUAUGUUCAACUUUUCGAGGAACCACCACGCUGUUUUCCACAGUGGUUGUACCAUUUUAUAUUCUCACCAGCAAU
rnacentral:pre_miRNA from 1 species